rnacentral:rRNA from 1 species
GAUGAACGCUGGCGGCGUGCCUAAUACAUGCAAGUCGAGCGAACAGACGAGGAGCUUGCUCCUCUGACGUUAGCGGCGGACGGGUGAGUAACACGUGGAUAACCUACCUAUAAGACUGGGAUAACUUCGGGAAACCGGAGCUAAUACCGGAUAAUAUAUUGAGCCGCAUGGUUCAAUAGUGAAAGACGGUUUUGCUGUCACUUAUAGAUGGAUCCGCGCCGCAUUAGCUAGUUGGUAAGGUAACGGCUUACCAAGGCAACGAUGCGUAGCCGACCUGAGAGGGUUAUCGGCCACACUGGAACUGAGACACGGUCCAGACUCCUACGGGAGGCAGCAGUAGGGAAUCUUCCGCAAUGGGCGAAAGCCUGACGGAGCAACGCCGCGUGAGUGAUGAAGGUCUUCGGAUCGUAAAACUCUGUUAUUAGGGAAGAACAAAUGUGUAAGUAACUAUGCACGUCUUGACGGUACCUAAUCAGAAAGCCACGGCUAACUACGUG